UGCAUCUUGAUUUCUUGUUUGC
rnacentral:siRNA from 1 species